rnacentral:rRNA from 1 species
CGCGAGAGCAAGCGGACCUCAUAAAGUGCGUCGUAGUCCGGAUUGGAGUCUGCAACUCGACUCCAUGAAGUCGGAAUCGCUAGUAAUCGUGGAUCAGAAUGCCACGGUGAAUACGUUCCCGGGCCUUGUACACACCGCCCGUCACACCAUGGGAGUGGGUUGCAAAAGAAGUAGGUAGCUUAACCUUCGGGAGGGCGCUUACCACUUUGUGAUUCAUGACUGGGGUGAAGUCGUAACAAGGUAACCGUAGGGGAACCUGCGGUUGGAUCACCUCCUU